CCCUUCCAGAGGGGGACAACAGUUGGAAACGACUGCUAAUACCGCAUACGAUCCAAUCUCGGCAUCGAGGAUGGAUGAAAGGUGGCCUCUAUUUAUAAGCUAUCACUGAAGGAGGGGAUUGCGUCUGAUUAGCUAGUUGGAGGGGUAACGGCCCACCAAGGCGAUGAUCAGUAGCCGGUCUGAGAGGAUGAACGGCCACAUUGGGACUGAGACACGGCCCAG
rnacentral:rRNA from 1 species